CGCUAUCUAAUUAUCUAUGCAUGUGCAAAUGGCGGUGACCAUGCAACUCACCCCCUUUAUCCCUAAACUCCGACGACAACGAAGUUCUCACAACCUUAAUUUUCACAACAAAACAGCUGCAACAUCGAUCAUCGCUUGUUGCUCUGCUCGCAAUUCUUCAGAAGCAGAGGUUUUAGUGUCAGAGUUCAAUCCUAAGAUUCCCAUAGAAGAAGCUGUGACACCCCCAACAUCAUGGUACACUGACAUUUCUUUCUUCCAACUUGAGCUCCAUCGCAUCUUCUACCGAGGCUGGCAAGCUGUCGGAUCAACAGAGCAGAUAAAGGAUCUCAAUAGCUUUUUCACUGGAAGACUAGGAGAUGUGGAAUUUGUGGUCUGUCGAGAUGAGAGUGGGAAGCUUCAAGCCUUUCACAAUGUGUGUCGACAUCAUGCCUCUCUUCUUGCUUCUGGAAGUGGACACAAGUCCUGCUUUGUCUGCCCAUACCAUGGAUGGACGUAUGGGUUAAGUGGGGCACUUCUUAAGGCAACUAGGAUAUCAGGAAUGCGGAACUUCAAUGUAAAGGAUUUUGGGCUUAUACCAAUUAAAGUAUCUACCUGGGGACCUUUCAUUCUUCUCAAUCUCGAAAAAGAGAGUCUUCCUCUGACGGAAAUUGAUAGUACUUAUGUAGCAAAAGAAUGGCUUGGUAGCUGUUCAGAAAUAUUGAGUACCAACGGAAUUGAUUCUCCGCUAAGUUAUGUUUGUAGACGUGAAUACACCAUUGAGUGCAAUUGGAAGGUAUUCUGCGAUAACUACUUGGAUGGUGGCUAUCAUGUUCCUUAUGCACAUAAAGGCUUAGCAUCCGGUCUUAAGUUUGAUUCUUAUUCUACCACAAUAUUUGAAAGAGUUAGCAUCCAAAGUUGUGAAGGCAGCUCAGGGAAAAGCAAAGACAAUUACGACCGACUUGGAAGAAAAGCUAUAUAUGCUUUCAUUUACCCAAACUUCAUGAUUAAUAGGUAUGGACCUUGGAUGGACACCAAUCUUGUACUUCCACUAGGACCCAACAAAUGUCAAGUGGUAUUUGAUUACUAUCUUGAACACUCUCUAAAGUUCGUUGAAGGGUCGAAACUUUUCUUCUGUCUAACAUUCUUCUUUGGCUGAGUAGCAUGACAAGGAUUUCAUAGAGUUAAGUUUACAAGACAGUGAGAAAGUGCAGAUAGAAGAUAUUGUGCUGUGUGAAGGUGUUCAGAAGGGUCUCCAAUCCCCGGCAUAUUAUGUGGGUAGGUAUGCCCCUAAAGUUGAGCAGGCCAUGCACCAUUUUCAUUGUCUGCUUUAUGAAAACCUAAAAAAAUAAAUUCCAUGACUAGGUAUGUGUGUGUGAAUUUGAAUUUGAUGCAUGCCAUGCAUGCAAUUACUCCAUUUGCAAUAGUAGUGGUGUUAAAUUCUGCAUGCAAAUUGCUGACACCAUUGUUUAUUUAUUUUAUUUUUUUCCUUUGAAUGAUUCAAGAUGCUUUAAGGCGUA